GACGAACGCUGGCGGCGUGCUUAACACAUGCAAGUCGAACGGAAAGGCCCUGCUUUUGUGGGGUGCUCGAGUGGCGAACGGGUGAGUAACACGUGAGUAACCUGCCCUUGACUUUGGGAUAACUUCAGGAAACUGGGGCUAAUACCGGAUAGGAGCUCCUGCUGCAUGGUGGGGGUUGGAAAGUUUCGGCGGUGGGGGAUGGACUCGCGGCUUAUCAGCUUGUUGGUGGGGUAGUGGCUUACCAAGGCUUUGACGGGUAGCCGGCCUGAGAGGGUGACCGGCCACAUUGGGACUGAGAUACGGCGCAGACUCCUACGGGAGGCAGCAGUGGGGAAUAUUGCACAAUGGGCGGAAGCCUGAUGCAGCAGCGCCGCGUGCGGGAUGACGGCCUUCGGGUUGUAAACCGCUUUCGCCUGUGACGAAGCGUGAGUGACGGUAAUGGGUAAAGAAGCACCGGCUAACUACGUG
rnacentral:rRNA from 1 species